rnacentral:rRNA from 1 species
UCGCCUGUUUUACAAAAACAUAGUUUAAGGAAAUAAUCUUAAAUGAAUUCUGCCCAGUGAUUUUUUUUUAAAUGGCCGCAGUACCUUGACUGUGCUAAGGUAGCAUAAUCAAUUGGCUUCUAAUUAAAGUCUGGAAUGAAAGGAAAUAUGAAGUAAUUCUAUCUUAAAGGAUUUUUUUUGAAUUUAUUUAAAUGAUGAAAAUAUCAUUUUAUAGAAAAAAGACGAGAAGACCCUUAGAGUUUUGAUAUUUAUAUAUUUUUGUUGGGGCGACAGGUAAACAUAUAACUUUACGAAUUAUCAUUGAUCGAUUUUUUAUAAGAAUAAUAAAACUACCUUAGGGAUAACAGCAUUAUAUUUUUUUUUAUGAUUGUGACCUCGAUGUUGGACUAGGAACUUUAUGGCUAGCCGUCAAAAAAGAUUGUCGUUCGAAUACAU